rnacentral:lncRNA from 1 species
UGGCAAAGGGCCUAUAGGAUAUUAAAGCCGUUCUGAAACUGAGUUGCUCCAGCUGGCCAGGCAACAGUCCACAAUCUCACCACGAAGACAGCGAUCUCUGCUCCUCGAUAAUAACAUGGGCAAACCAAGAAUGGGCAACUUGGAAGUCCCUGAACAGACUCAGAAGUGGAGUAUGCAGAUCAAAAGACAACCUGGCAAAAUGGCACUACCUAGAAGAAUCCUCCACCUUGUGUGACUGUGGGGCAGAACAAACAACUCAGCAUCUUUAUGCUUGCCCACAAUGCCCUGCCUCAUGUACAGAGGAAGAAUUGCUUAAAGCUACAGACAAUGCGGUCGCUGUUGCCCAUUUUUGGUCAAAAAUUAUUGAGCCGCUUGUGUUCCCUCUAUUUUUUAUCAGUUUUAUAUUUAUUUAUGCAAUGCUUUUGACUCGAAAUAAAUAAAUAACAUAUAGAUCUUGGGUGGUUUGACUCUGUUAUGGAUAUGCUGUUUGUAUUGUUCUUGAUUUUCUGGACCUCAUAUCUGUAGAAUCAGUAUUCACAAUUUCACUUACCCUUGUCUGGAAAAACAUGUAAUCUCUAGGUAUUUUCUAGGUUACCCAGUGCAAUUCGAUAGUGUGCUUCCACCAAAAGUUGACUAUAGAGUUGCAUUGGAAGAUAUGAAAAUGUUAGGUAUUGUCUGUCUCUUUGGCUUUGUACAUUGGCUCUUGCACUACCCAUCCCAAGAAUGCAGAGAUGCAAGAUGGUAAACUGGUGAAUGCUUGAAGUGUGAAGGAAGAAGUGAGUGCUGCCUCAGAUAUCCUGCCGUUACAUCAUUUCCCUCAUGCGCUGUCAGAGUAAUUCGCAGCGUAGCAGCAGUUGUAUGUUGUCAAUGGAGUGCAGAACGAAGAGACGUCAGAGACGAUGUUAAAAAUAUAUACAAAGUUUUACUGUACAAGACAAACAGAAUUGCAGACGAACACAGGCUUGGCUUUCACUCUAGGCAGACACAAACUCAGAACAGAGCAAGAUCUCAAUUGACGCAAUCAGUAAUGUACAAACACACUUGAGUCUGGAUACUUCCCAGGUUUCAGCCACACAUCAAGGUCAACACAGCUUCUCAGUCAUUAACUCUUUACAGACUAUAGCAUACUCUGGAUGAUGCAACCUGUAUGCAAUACAUGCCAGACACAAAUUUCAUUUAAACACUACCAAUACACAAAUCCCACAUUAACAUGCGCUGUCACUUUCGACUUGGAAAAGUGUUAUUAUAUUGUGCAUGAAAUCGGGAACCCUUCAAAGCCAUCUACCGCAGAAUCUUAAAGUAAAGCUGAAUAAAUGAUAGAACCGAACCAAUGUGCAUGUCUCUCUCUUUUUAAUAAAUCAAAGGAUGCAUUAAAAAUGAAGAUGUUAGGUAUUCAUUCUAGGCAUUGUCUAAGAUUCUGUGGUAUACAGUAGAGUCUCACUUAUCCAAGCUAAACGGGCCGGCAGAAGCUUGGAUAAGCGAAUAUCUUGGAUAAUAAGGAGGGAUUAAGGAAAAGCCU